UACGUAGGGGGCAAGCGUUGUCCGGAUUUAUUGGGCGUAAAGAGCGUGUAGGCGGCCAGGUAGGUCAGCUGUGAAAACUCGAGGCUCAACCUCGAGAUGUCGGCUGAAACCAUCUGGCUAGAGUCCGGAAGAGGAGAAUGGAAUUCCCGGUGUAGCGGUGAAAUGCGCGGAUAUCGGGAAGAACACCCGUGGCGAAGGCGGUUCUCUGGGACGGUACUGACGCUGAGACGCGAAAGCGUGGGGAGCGAACAGG
rnacentral:rRNA from 1 species